rnacentral:misc_RNA from 1 species
UGGCUCUCGCAUCGAUGAAGAACGCAGCGAAAUGCGAUAAGUAAUGUGAAUUGCAGAUUUUCAGUGAAUCAUCGAAUCUUUGAACGCACCUUGCGCCCCUUGGUAUUCCGAGGGGCAUGCCUGUUUGAGUGUCAUUAAAUCCUCAACCGCGCCGAUUGAUUUUCGGUGGGGCUUGGACUUUGGAGCGUGCUGGCGAAGGUCGGCUCCUCUUUAAAUGCAUCAGCGGAAGAAACCUUUGUCUUUCCCGCCUUCGGUGUGAUAAUCGCGUUGCGCCGUGGUGGAACUUCAACGAUCCGCUUACAAUGGUCUUCGGACGAAACCUCAUGUCAUCUUGACCUCAAAUCAGGUAGGACUACCCGCUGA